rnacentral:rRNA from 1 species
UGGGGAAUAUUGGACAAUGGGCGCAAGCCUGAUCCAGCCAUGCCGCGUGAGUGAUGAAGGCCCUAUGGUUGUAAAGCUCUUUCACCGGUGAAGAUAAUGACGGUAACCGGAGAAGAAGCCCCGGCUAACUUCGUGCCAGCAGCCGCGGUAAUACGAAGGGGGCUAGCGUUGUUCGGAUUUACUGGGCGUAAAGCGCACGUAGGCGGACUAUUAAGUCAGGGGUGAAAUCCCGGGGCUCACCCCCGGAACUGCCUUUGAUACUGGUAGUCUUGAGUUCGAGAGAGGUGAGUGGAAUUCCGGGUGUAGAGGUGAAAUUCGUAGAUAUUCGGAGGAACACCAGUGGCGAAGGCGGCUCACUGGCUCGAUACUGACGCUGAGGUGCGAAAGCGUGGGGAGCAAACAGG